ACGGCCAGAGAUGGUCGCCCCCUUGUGGUCGGUGUACAGGUGGUGCAUGGUUGUCGUCAGCUCGUGUCGUGAGAUGUUGGGUUAAGUCCCGCAACGAGCGCAACCCUCGUUCUAUGUUGCCAGCGCGUUAUGGCGGGGACUCAUAGGAGACUGCCGGGGUCAACUCGGAGGAAGGUGGGGAUGACGUCAAAUCAUCAUGCCUCUUAUGUCUUGGGCUUCACGCAUGCUACAAUGGCCGGUACAAAGGGCUGCGAUACCGUAAGGUGGAGCGAAUCCCAAAAAGCCGGUCUCAGUUCGGAUUGAGGUCUGCAACUCGACCUCAUGAAGUCGGAGUCGCUAGUAAUCGCAGAUCAGCAACGCUGCGGUGAAUACGUUCCCGGGUCUUGUACACACCGA
rnacentral:rRNA from 1 species